rnacentral:rRNA from 1 species
UACGAAGGGGGCUAGCGUUGCUCGGAAUGACUGGGCGUAAAGGGCGCGUAGGCGGUUUGUACAGUCAGAUGUGAAAUUCCUGGGCUCAACCUGGGGGCUGCAUUUGAUACGUAUGGACUGGAGUGAGGAAGAGGGUCGUGGAAUUCCCAGUGUAGAGGUGAAAUUCGUAGAUAUUGGGAAGAACACCGGUGGCGAAGGCGGCGACCUGGUCCGUGACUGACGCUGAGGCGCGAAAGCGUGGGGAGCAAACAGG